CGAACCGUACAAACGUUAUUCGGAAUCACUGGGCUUAAAGGGUGCGUAGGCGGCCAUGUAAGUGAGAUGUGAAAUCCCUCGGCUCAACCGAGGAAGUGCAUUUCAUACUGCAUGGCUUGAGGGAGACAGGGGUAAGCGGAACUGAUGGUGGAGCGGUGAAAUGCGUUGAUAUCAUCAGGAACACCGGUGGCGAAAGCGGCUUACUGGGUCUCUUCUGACGCUGAGGUACGAAAGCUAGGGGAGCGAACGGGAUUAGAUACCCCGGUAGUCCUAGCUGUAAACGAUGAGCACUUAUCUGGGGAUCCUCCCAUAGGUUCCCGGAUGUAGCGAAAGUGUUAAGUGCUCCGCCUGGGGAGUAUGGUCGCAAGGCUG
rnacentral:rRNA from 1 species